UACAGAGGGUGCAAGCGUUGUUCGGAAUUAUUGGGCGUAAAGCGCGCGUAGGUGGUUUGUUAAGUUGGAUGUGAAAGCCCCGGGCUCAACCUGGGAACUGCAUCCAAAACUGGCAAGCUAGAGUACGGUAGAGGGUGGUGGAAUUUCCUGUGUAGCGGUGAAAUGCGUAGAUAUAGGAAGGAAGACCAGUGGCGAAGGCGACCACCUGGACUGAUACUGACACUGAGGCGCGACAGCGUGGGGAGCAAACAGG
rnacentral:rRNA from 1 species